rnacentral:rRNA from 1 species
AUGUUUGGUGAUGUUAUAUGCUUUGACACCACAUAUAGGAAACUAGAUGAUGGGCGUCCCUUUGGUUUGAUUGUUGGGGUGAAUAAUCACAAGAAAACCAUGGUCUUUGGUGCUACACUUCUCUAUGAUGAAACUGCUGAAAGUUUUGGUUGGCUUUUUAGAACAUUUCUAACAGCUAUGUCUGGGAAACAUCCAAGGACUAUUCUGACCGAUGAAGAUGCAGCAAUGGCCAAGGCAACCAGUAAAGUCCUUCCUCAGUCUCACCAUAGACUUUGUGUGUGGCAUAUGAAUCAAAAUGCUUGCAAGCACCUUGCUGGGGUUGUUGAAGAAUAUAAGAAGUUCAAUGCCGAUUUCCAGCAUUAUAUCUAUGAUAUUGAGGAAGAAGACGACUUUAUAAAUGAAUGGAAUAGAAUGCUAGACAGGUAUGGACUCCGUGACAAUAUGUGGCUGCAAAGGCUGUUUGAAAAAAGGGAGCAAUGGGCACUAGUGUAUGGCAAAAAUACAUUCUCAGCCCACAUGAGCACUACCCAAAGAAGUGAAAGCAUGAAUAAUGAACUAAAGCGGUACAUUAGUAUUAAAUAUGACAUGCUUACUUUUUUUGAGCAUUUUGGGCGUCUGGUUGCGGAUAAAAGAUUUGUAGAGGUGAAGUGUGACUUCAAGGCGUCACAAACUACUCCCAAGCUGAAGGCAGAAGGUAGCUAUGUGUUAAGGCAAGCCGCAACUACAUAUACUCCCGCAAUAUUCAAGAUGUUUCAGGAGCAAGUAAUUCGGACCCUGAACUAUGACACAUUUCUUUGUGAUUCAAGUGAUAAAGAGAAGAAGGUUUACACAGUAAAAUUUCAUGGAACGCAGCGCGAGCAUGUUGUCAGUUUUUAUCCAAACGAAGAAAAGGUCAAUUGCAGUUGCAAGAAGUUUGAAUUUGCUGGAAUCCUCUGCUCUCAUUGCUUAAAGAUACUUGAUAUUAAUAAUAUCAAGCAUAUCCCUGAACACUAUAUACUGAAAAGAUGGACAAUUGAUGCGAAAGUGCUAGAGAUAACAAGCAAUCGCAAUCUGCAUGAAGAUCUAAAAGCAAGAAUGUCGAACUUUUACAAGGACUUGUGCAGAAUGUUUAUCCAUAUAGCUGCUCGCGCCGCAGAGUCCGAUGAAACAUAUGAUAUGGCUGCUAAAUGUGCAGAGCAGCUAGCACGAGAUGUGGAGCAAAGCUUGAAAAUUAGAGUUGAUCCAGACCCAAAUCCAGAUUUGGGUGACUCCUCUGUUUCGCAAGGUCCGAACAUCGACUCUACUAGAGUUUCAAAGCAUAACGAGGGGCUUCACAUGCCAAGAGGUAUAAAGGUCAAGGAGAAGACUGUACGAGGAUCAGUGAGACCCGUUGGUGGCUUGGAGAAAGCAAAAACAACGAAGAAAAAGAAGAUAGAUGAUUCUUUACGACUACAACCUGAAAUGCCUUUCACAAAUCAAAUGCCUACGUAUAACCCAAUCUUAAUGGGUCAAUUCAGAGAAAAUAUUGUACCAGGAUCAGCAAGACCCAUUGGUGGCUUGGAGAAAGCAAAAACAAAGAAGAAAAAGAAGACAGUCAAUUCUUUACAAGAACGACCUGAAAUGCCUUUGACAAACCAAAUGCCUGGGUAUUUACCACAGUACAAUCCAACCCAAAUGGUUCAACUGGGAGCUCUGCCAAGUCAUGCUUACCCCUAUUUAGCACAUUACAACUCAAGUCUGCAACAAUCCAUUGGUCUGUCGACCCCUACGAUGAUGCCAGGACAAAAUAUAUUAUUCUUCCAACAACAGACUCCUACCAGUGGUACUUCUACCCCUAUGAUAAUGGCAGGACAGAAUCUACCAUUCUUCCAACAACAGAAUCCUACCAUUGGUACCUGUAGCCCUACGAUGAUGCCAGGACAGAAUCUAUCAUUCUUUCAAUAG